AUGGCACGGCGUACCAGAAAGGCCACGCGUUCCUCCCGGUCCUUCUCCAUCGCCUUCGUGUUCGGCAUCGUCUCCGUCUACCCCGACUUCAGCGCCCAUGGCAUGGCCUUCGUCAUCGCCCCCCGGAGGAACUUCUCAGAUGCUCUUCCUGCCAAGUAUCUGGGCCUCACCAACGUCCACAACGAUGGCAACGCCAGGAACAAUGUCUUCGCCGUGGAGCUGGACACUAUCCAGAGCGUGGAGUGUGUCGAUCCAAUCUAUUUCUCCUUGUUUCACAACAUCAAUGCCAACCACGUCGGCAUCGACAUCAACGGAUUGCAAUCCCUACGGUCAUACAACGUCGGCUACUACGAUGACGAGAGCAGCGACUUCCGAAGCAUGAAGCUCAUCAGCCGCGAGGCCAUGCAAGUGUGGAUUGAUUACCACGGGGGGAGGAAGGAGAUCAACGUGACACUGGCUCCCUUGGACAUGGCCAAGCCUGCUAGGCCACUCCUCUCGGCCAGCUACGACCUCUCCACGGUGCUCCAUGAGCUGGUGUAUCUCGGGUUCUCAGCGGCCACCGAUCGUGUCAAUUCACGGCAUUUCAUUCUUGGUUGGAGCUUGGGCGUGAGCAGACAAGCUCCGGCCAUCGACAUGGCCAAGCUGCCCAAGUUGCCUCGGGUUGGCCCGAAGCCUCGGUCCAAGGCCUUGGACAUCAUUCUACCAAUAGUCACGGCCACAUUUGUACUUGGUUUGGGUGGUAUCCUUGUCCUGGUCAUGCGGAGGAGAUCAAGGUACGCUGAAUUGCGGGAAGAUUGGGAGAUCGAGUUCGGACCACACCGCUUCUUGUACAAGGAUUUAUUCCGUGCAACUGACGGAUUCAAGGACAAGCAUCUACUUGGCGUGGGGGGGGGUUUGGAAGGGUAUACAGAGGCAUGCUUGAGACAUCUAAACUGGAGGUUGCGGUGA
rnacentral:rRNA from 1 species